CUGAAGUGAAUGGAUUUGAAUCUGUUUUUCAAUUUGGACUUCAGAAUAUUCUCGAGUUUUUCUUUGGAAGAGUGUCGUGGUAAGUUGAUUUUUUUAAGCUAGUUGUGAGUUGAGCUUUAUAAGCGUUAACCAAUUAGGUUCUCGUUGUUGAAUAAAUAAAGAACCAUAUGACGAUUGAUCUGAUAACUGUGGAGUGUCUAAGAGGGAGACUACUUGCAGAGAGGCAAGUUUCAAGGUCUGCUAAAGAAGAAGCAGAGCUCAUUACCAGAAGGAUGAAAGAGCUGGAGAAACAUCUGAAAGAAGAGAUCAGAUUAAGGGAGAAAACAGAGAAGAGACUCAAGUUUCUGAUGAAAAAAGCUUGAAUUCAUUAAAGGAUCAUCACACUGUUCUGAGGAUUCAGAGCAAUCCAGUUCAUCUGAAGCUUCUUGUUUGUCAUCAGUUUCCACUUCAGCAACCAAAGAAGAAGAAAAAGAAUCUCAUGAAAAUGGAUUUGUGGAGGAAGAUGAAAUUAAUCAAGCAACUAAAAAAAUGUUUCCUCCGUUGAAAAAGAGUCACGUUCAAAGCUCAUAGAUCUUUCUUCUGGUGAAGAGA